rnacentral:lncRNA from 1 species
UGUUGAGCUGUUCCAAUAGCAUGAUUACAAAGGCGUACUACUAGUACUACACAGAAGGAAUCCAAUCCAGGAAAGAGAUAACUACACAGAAGAGAACCCAGAGGUUUACACAUGGAGGCCGGGACCUCAUGCGACGAUCUGUCCGGCCGUCUGUCUGUCGCCCACCCACGCAACUGUUCUAGGCCUACCCACAGCCGGCUCGCCGCAAAGGAUCCGGGCCCCUUCCCACCGGAGGACCACAAG